rnacentral:miRNA from 1 species
AAACGGAGCAUGAUUCAAACUC